rnacentral:lncRNA from 1 species
UUCCACCGCCACCACCCUACACUCCAACAACCCAACAAGCACUCCAACCCAGACAUCAAGCUACCAACAACAGAACUGUGGCUCCAAAAACAACGCCCCCAAAGGGGAUAAACGACAUCAAGAUGCCAUCGUUGUCCGAUCCAGAGAUGGAUCUGAGGCUUUCGCCCGGGGCACACGAAUGAGCGGGCAAGGUAGCUUCCCGAUGACGCCUUCAUGAAGGAAAGCGGCGCCGAAGGCGUCGCCGUCAUCGUUGCCGAUGAGAUCGACACAAGGCUUUCGCCUUAAGCAAACCAUCCCAAUCAACUUCGCCGAAGUUGUCACUGAGUCCAGCAGCUCGAGACCUCCCCACCCUCCUACCAGUCCACGGCGAGCGUCCUCGCUAGGACUAGCACGAGGCUUUCGUGACGCAGACACUCACCUCGAGCACCCGCACAACUGAAGUCAGCUCGGUGUCAGCUGCAGCCCGCAUCCAAGCCCUCGCCGCCCGCCACACCCCACCACCAGCACAUACAGCCACCAGGACCCUCCCCAUCCACAACCAAAGCAGAGCAGCCCCUGUAACCAAGCCAAAUCUGAGCUCCACAAGAACCAACACCGCCGACCACCAGCCAAACCUCCUCCACAAGCCACACAACCACCGCCUCCAACACGCCUCAUCCACCCAGCCGUGGAUACUGGCCGGAGCCGGCCGAAUCGAGCUGCUGCCUUUGAAGGACGCCAUAUCCGAGUGGGCUCGACCUCGCGAACCAGGCCGAGGUCGCCGGAGAAUGGGCCAGCAAGCACAGACGCCGACCGCCGCCGCCGUCGUAGCCCAGGCACUGACCGCCGAGCCACCGCAGCGAGAUCCGCAGCGGAAACCGCCGCCACCCGUGCGCUGGAGAGACAGCUCGCACUGCCUCCACGCACCAGCCGAAGAAGUGCCCCGCCGCCGCGGUCCCCGGAUCCAGCCGAGCUUCGCUGGCCGGAGCCUCUGGCGGCGGCGAGACAAGGAAGGGACGGGGUGGGUGAGUGGCGGCG